rnacentral:tRNA from 1 species
ACGUUGGUGGCUCAGUGGCAGAAUUCUUACCUUCUGUGUGGGAGCCCUGGGUUCAAUUCCUGGCCAAUGCA